GACGAACGCUGGCGGCGUGCUUAACACAUGCAAGUCGAACGGUGAAGCGCCUUCCUUUUUGGUGGGUGUGGAUGAGUGGCGAACGGGUGAGUAACACGUGAGUAACCUGCCCCCUUCUUCUGGAUAACCGCAUGAAAGUGUGGCUAAUACGGGAUAUUCUGGGUCUGUCGCAUGAUGGGUCUGGGAAAGAUAUUGUUUCGGUGGGGGAUGGGCUCGCGGCCUAUCAGCUUGUUGGUGGGGUGAUGGCCUACCAAGGCGGUGACGGGUAGCCGGCCUGAGAGGGUGGACGGUCACACUGGGACUGAGACACGGCCCAGCCUCCUACGGGAGGCAGCAGUGGGGAAUAUAGCACAGUGGGCGCAAGCCUGAUGCAGCGACGCCGCGUGAGGGAUGGAGGCCGUCGGGUUGUGAACCUCUUUCGCCAGUGAAGCAGGCCUGCCUCGUUUGUGGGUGGGUUGACGGUAGCUGGAUAAGAAGCGCCGGCUAACUACGUG
rnacentral:rRNA from 1 species